GUGUGCCCUUUCAACAGGUAGAAACAGAAUCAAGGCCAUCCUACACUAUAAAAUGAAGAUAGUUAUUGAUUCCCUCCCGAACAUCCUUCCCUCCUCUAUGAUUCACAUAUACAAUAUUUGCUCGGGACCACAGAGUUCCUCCAGGAGUGCUAAUAACAAUAUGCCUGACCACAGUAACAAACACUCACGCGGGAAUGUUAUUAGACCUCGGGCACCGUUCUAAGUAUAUCUGACUUUCACAGAAGCACCCUGAGGUAAGUUCUACUCUUUGCCCCCUUCCAUAUGAGGAAACUGAAGCACGAGGAAGCAAAAGAGCCGGCCUCAAAACACACGACAGGUAGGGGGACGAAACCCAGACCACAGCACUUCGGCCCCCGAGGCCUCAGCCUCUUUCACUGCCCACCUGCAUCAUGCUGUGGUGCUUCAGGUCAAUUACUGGUAAGUCUCAAGAAAAUUACAUCAGGGUCAUCGCUGCCAUUUACCGGUGCACAUCUUGCCCAAGGCCACAAGUUGUGAGUACCAAAUGGGGAUUUGAACCUGGUAUUGGACACAACUCCAUAGCCAUGGGUGUUUCCAGUAUGUCAAGCCGCUGCUUGCUUUACUGUCAUAAAACCUACAGACCAAGUGCUUUUUUGCCAGUAGGAACAAUUUGUUUCUUCCCACAUCGCCCUACUUUCCGUUGCAUUUCACUCUCCAGCCUUCUUACAAAGAGCGCGCAAGCCCCAGACAAUCGCUUCCUUGGGCCAUGCAAAUAAUGUCUACUGCCUUGACCUUGCUUUGAAGAUCUUUGUCUGCCUUGGGUUUUUAACUCUCCUCAGAGAAGUGAUUUAAUUCAGACCCUCUUUCCUAAAGAAACUUGAAUCCCUGAAAACUGACACUCGUAUUUCCUGUUAUUUACCAGAUUCUACGCUCUCUGGGUGCUAAUUUGCCCUUGAGAUAUCCUAGCAGGCUUACGCCAAGCUCAACGGACCGAAGCCUCCCUUGUCCCAAGUUGGACCUACCCGUGGCGACACGUUUUGCUCGAAAGUUGAGGAAACGUGGAGCUAUUGCCAUCACUGGCAAAUCAGCUUUCGAUGAAAUAUUCAAGACAGCUAGAAGCUAAGCAGGAUAACCGAAUUCACAACCAUUUGCUACAGGACCAUAAUUUAAUGGCAGCAUUAUAAUUUGCUAAAUACCAUUACCGUGGCACCGGGUCCUAUUAAUCAAAAACAGGAAAAGCUGUACACAGCAAUUUUUCUUUACUAUUUGUAGUGGCUUAUUACUGGUGCUUACCUCUAGAGUAGAUGUUACCUUUUUAGCUUCCAUAAUCAAAUACUCUAAAAAUAAGUCAAAUUUGAUUAC